rnacentral:rRNA from 1 species
GGGUUGUGAGGUUAAGCGACUAAGCGUACACGGUGGAUGCCCUGGCAGUCAGAGGCGAUGAAGGACGUGCUAAUCUGCGAUAAGCGUCGGUAAGGUGAUAUGAACCGUUAUAACCGGCGAUUUCCGAAUGGGGAAACCCAGUGUGUUUCGACACACUAUCAUUAACUGAAUCCAUAGGUUAAUGAGGCGAACCGGGGGAACUGAAACAUCUAAGUACCCCGAGGAAAAGAAAUCAACCGAGAUUCCCCCAGUAGCGGCGAGCGAACGGGGAGCAGCCCAGAGUCUGAAUCAGUAUGUGUGUUAGUGGAAGCGUCUGGAAAGGCGCGCGAUACAGGGUGACAGCCCCGUACACAAAAAUGCACAUAUUGUGAGCUCGAUGAGUAGGGCGGGACACGUGGUAUCCUGUCUGAAUAUGGGGGGACCAUCCUCCAAGGCUAAAUACUCCUGACUGACCGAUAGUGAACCAGUACCGUGAGGGAAAGGCGAAAAGAACCCCGGCGAGGGGAGUGAAAAAGAACCUGAAACCGUGUACGUACAAGCAGUGGGAGCACGCUUAGGCGUGUGACUGCGUACCUUUUGUAUAAUGGGUCAGCGACUUAUAUUCUGUAGCAAGGUUAACCGAAUAGGGGAGCCGAAGGGAAACCGAGUCUUAACUGGGCGUUAAGUUGCAGGGUAUAGACCCGAAACCCGGUGAUCUAGCCAUGGGCAGGUUGAAGGUUGGGUAACACUAACUGGAGGACCGAACCGACUAAUGUUGAAAAAUUAGCGGAUGACUUGUGGCUGGGGGUGAAAGGCCAAUCAAACCGGGAGAUAGCUGGUUCUCCCCGAAAGCUAUUUAGGUAGCGCCUCGUGAAUUCAUCUCCGGGGGUAGAGCACUGUUUCGGCAAGGGGGUCAUCCCGACUUACCAACCCGAUGCAAACUGCGAAUACCGGAGAAUGUUAUCACGGGAGACACACGGCGGGUGCUAACGUCCGUCGUGAAGAGGGAAACAACCCAGACCGCCAGCUAAGGUCCCAAAGUCAUGGUUAAGUGGGAAACGAUGUGGGAAGGCCCAGACAGCCAGGAUGUUGGCUUAGAAGCAGCCAUCAUUUAAAGAAAGCGUAAUAGCUCACUGGUCGAGUCGGCCUGCGCGGAAGAUGUAACGGGGCUAAACCAUGCACCGAAGCUGCGGCAGCGACGCUGAUGCGUUGUUGGGUAGGGGAGCGUUCUGUAAGCCUGCGAAGGUGUGCUGUGAGGCAUGCUGGAGGUAUCAGAAGUGCGAAUGCUGACAUAAGUAACGAUAAAGCGGGUGAAAAGCCCGCUCGCCGGAAGACCAAGGGUUCCUGUCCAACGUUAAUCGGGGCAGGGUGAGUCGACCCCUAAGGCGAGGCCGAAAGGCGUAGUCGAUGGGAAACAGGUUAAUAUUCCUGUACUUGGUGUUACUGCGAAGGGGGGACGGAGAAGGCUAUGUUGGCCGGGCGACGGUUGUCCCGGUUUAAGCGUGUAGGCUGGUUUUCCAGGCAAAUCCGGAAAAUCAAGGCUGAGGCGUGAUGACGAGGCACUACGGUGCUGAAGCAACAAAUGCCCUGCUUCCAGGAAAAGCCUCUAAGCAUCAGGUAACAUCAAAUCGUACCCCAAACCGACACAGGUGGUCAGGUAGAGAAUACCAAGGCGCUUGAGAGAACUCGGGUGAAGGAACUAGGCAAAAUGGUGCCGUAACUUCGGGAGAAGGCACGCUGAUAUGUAGGUGAAGUCCCUCGCGGAUGGAGCUGAAAUCAGUCGAAGAUACCAGCUGGCUGCAACUGUUUAUUAAAAACACAGCACUGUGCAAACACGAAAGUGGACGUAUACGGUGUGACGCCUGCCCGGUGCCGGAAGGUUAAUUGAUGGGGUCAGCGCAAGCGAAGCUCUUGAUCGAAGCCCCGGUAAACGGCGGCCGUAACUAUAACGGUCCUAAGGUAGCGAAAUUCCUUGUCGGGUAAGUUCCGACCUGCACGAAUGGCGUAAUGAUGGCCAGGCUGUCUCCACCCGAGACUCAGUGAAAUUGAACUCGCUGUGAAGAUGCAGUGUACCCGCGGCAAGACGGAAAGACCCCGUGAACCUUUACUAUAGCUUGACACUGAACAUUGAGCCUUGAUGUGUAGGAUAGGUGGGAGGCUUUGAAGUGUGGACGCCAGUCUGCAUGGAGCCGACCUUGAAAUACCACCCUUUAAUGUUUGAUGUUCUAACGUUGACCCGUAAUCCGGGUUGCGGACAGUGUCUGGUGGGUAGUUUGACUGGGGCGGUCUCCUCCUAAAGAGUAACGGAGGAGCACGAAGGUUGGCUAAUCCUGGUCGGACAUCAGGAGGUUAGUGCAAUGGCAUAAGCCAGCUUGACUGCGAGCGUGACGGCGCGAGCAGGUGCGAAAGCAGGUCAUAGUGAUCCGGUGGUUCUGAAUGGAAGGGCCAUCGCUCAACGGAUAAAAGGUACUCCGGGGAUAACAGGCUGAUACCGCCCAAGAGUUCAUAUCGACGGCGGUGUUUGGCACCUCGAUGUCGGCUCAUCACAUCCUGGGGCUGAAGUAGGUCCCAAGGGUAUGGCUGUUCGCCAUUUAAAGUGGUACGCGAGCUGGGUUUAGAACGUCGUGAGACAGUUCGGUCCCUAUCUGCCGUGGGCGCUGGAGAACUGAGGGGGGCUGCUCCUAGUACGAGAGGACCGGAGUGGACGCAUCACUGGUGUUCGGGUUGUCAUGCCAAUGGCACUGCCCGGUAGCUAAAUGCGGAAGAGAUAAGUGCUGAAAGCAUCUAAGCACGAAACUUGCCCCGAGAUGAGUUCUCCCUGACCCUUUAAGGGUCCUGAAGGAACGUUGAAGACGACGACGUUGAUAGGCCGGGUGUGUAAGCGCAGCGAUGCGUUGAGCUAACCGGUACUAAUGAACCGUGAGGCUUAACCUUACAACGCCGAAG